CCAUCAUCAUUCAUCUUCCUCACUCAAUUCACCACCACAAAUCCCUCAUCACCUUGCAUCAUUAAACCACCAUGCACCUUCCAUCAUCCCCUUUCUCUUCCACCAGCUUCAUCAAACAACAACGUCAUUCUUCAUACCAAUCACCAACAACCAUAAACAUCAACACAUCUAAUCCUCUAUAAACACCACACCAAACCACCUUUUGUUACCCCGUAAAAAUCAUCAAACCACCACCCCAAUAACUCACCGCCUUUAUCAACUUAAGACUUAACUAUUCACAACCUUCACCCAAUAAUCAACAAUCACAGCAACAGAAAAAUAAAAUAGAAAGCAAACCCAGAAAACAAAACUGAACUUAAAAUAAGUCAAAAGAAAGCGUGAAAAAUAGAGGAAGAUUGAAACCACAACUACCGUUGUGAAGCUUUGAAUCCGGAAACCUAACCACUACAUGUGUUUCCCCUUUCGCAACGGACACGUCAUACCACUACUGUCACAAACAUCGGAGACCACUAAACCACUCACGACUACAACUCCGCUACACUCACAGAUCCAACGACAUUCAUCCCUCUUUGCAUCAUGUGUUUUCUCUUUCGAUCACCACCUUAAGCCACCGCGACAUCAUGAUUACACCAACCUCCGCGACCAUACCACGAAUCCUUCGAUCACCUUUGGUUCGUUUUCAUUUGUUUAUUUUUCAAUUCCUAUGAUUUCACCAUGUUUUAUGGAAAGUGAGGCGUGGGGAUAUCAUUUUUCCUUUUUGAAAAUUUAAGAUGAUUAUAGAACACAAUGAAAGAGAAAUAAGAAAGAAGAGUUUGAAUUUUUUUGUGAAGAGAGAAAGAGAAUGGCACUUUUCUAAACGAGAGAGGGAGACGUUUUUUAUGUUUUCAAAAUUGGGAAUUUAUUGUUUUAAUUGAGUUUGCAUAAUCAACUAAAUUAUUUUAUAUUUUUUGAGUUUAUUUUUAUUAAGUGAGAAUGAGAAAUAAAGGGGUGCCCCCUAUGUGCUAACAUCUUUGUUUUGUUUACUUUUUUAUUUAAAGUUGAAUGCUUUUUUAGGGUUUUUUAUUUCUCGUUUAGGUUAGGGCCCAAAAGGAAAAAUGGUUGUUUUUUAUACACUCUCAUGCUGAUACUACUGCCCAUUGUCCUGCAUAUUUAUUAAUAAGUUAGCUCUAAAUUAAUUAAGUAAUUUGUCUCAUAUAUUUUUCAAAAUAAAAUUCGAAGAAAAAGGAUUAGUUGGAUGUACAUCCCUCAUUUUCUCGAUGUCGCGGCUGGAAAAAUACAGAGUCGCCAUCAUCCUUUAUUUGUUCCUAAGGAAUAGGGAAAUAAUGAUAAAACGUAUAAGUUAAGGGGAGAGACUAAGGUUCGGGAGUCGGUUAAGUAAGGGGAAGGUGUUAGGCACCCUUCACCUCCAUUGUACUCAAUGGGGUCCUCCUUUAGUUCUAGAGUUAGUGCGUAUUUCUAAGGAGAGGUUGCCUAUGUUACUUAUUCUUACUUGAGUUACUUAUUUACAAAGGAAAUGUUAUUAUUCAGAGAAAAUGUUUGAUUAAUAAAGAAGGACACAAAAAAUGUAUUUGGUUAUUUUACUCGCUAGAGUUUUACAACUCUAUGCCUACGUACCCUUAAGUAAUAUGUAAGAUCAGAGCACCGUAGUUCGUCUAGAAAAUGUUUGCUUAUUUGUUGUUUUUUAGUUUUUGAAAAGGUUCUCAACACAUCGAGGGCUGAGAAAGUAAUUGAUUUGAAAAAUAUUUCAGUACAGAAGGGUAGAGGACUUAUAGUUUGAAUGUGUGGGAUUGAUUUUAGUUGAUGUGUUAAUUGCCAAGACGUUAUGUUUAAUUUAAUUUUUAAAAUUAAAUUAGACGUCAUAUAUACAUAAUUAUUUUUAUAUUAAGCAAAUAUUAAACGUAAUCAAUUAGCAAAAGAAAUAUUAGUUUUUUUUAAUCAAACUCUAAUUGUUAUUAUCUUAACCUUAAUUGUAUCUAAAUCUUAGUCUCAAUAUUAAUCAUGAAAACCAUCAUAAUAAAACCCUAAUUAUAAUAAAAUAUGUUUUUUUACAGAUUUUUUUAUUUAUUAAUUUAUAAUAAAAAAACCUUAAUUAAUAAAAUUUUAAUUAUUUUAAUUCACUUCACCAAUUAUUAAUAUUAAUUUCAAAUAAAAACUAAAUCAAUAAUAUUAUUUAUUAAGAAAAAUAAACUAAAUAUAUAAACACAUGGGGGUGUAAAUUACAUUGAACUAGCAAUGGAUCUCUGAUUGGAGUGUGAAAAGCAAGGGUGAGAGAGGCCGCUUGGCCUCUGAAGUCCACAUGGGGAAGGAGCAUCCACGGAGAGAGAGUCUAUGGUUGACUCUAUCUGGACCAUGAGAUCAUGAUCAGAGGGACCACAUAGCGCUCAAUCAAAGCCCUUGAUUAAGAUGACUAGUCAAGGUAUAUAAUACAGGAUGAUGGUCUCAUAUCAAAAGUCAAUGGGAGAACACAAUACUCAUGUAUAUAUAAUGGUUUAAUUGAGGUAGCAAAAUGAUUGGCCAAGGAUCAGCCACAUGAGCAUGACAUGGAUCAAUUCAGGAGAGGUAUAAAUAGAAAUCCCCUUUAGAAGCUUUCAUUUAUUUCCCCCUCUCUCUUUCCAUCUCUUCACUUUGUUCUCUCUAUAGGCUCUAUAUUCUCUCCUUCCCUUCGGCCACCAUCCCAAAACUAGAAACCAACGUACCCUCCAAGUUUUCGGUUGAACUUCAACCAAAACCUUCAACCACUAACCCAAAAACACAUCCCUUCCCAUAAACCACUAUUGAACCACUGUAGUCCAUAGAUCCCCAGUUGAAGUUCAACUGCAAUCUUCAAAUAUUUAACUGGCGUUCAUCUAAAUGAUGAACACCAACCCAUAAACCCUUCAAACCCAAGAACCCUAACCUCAAAGCCUUAGAACCUUAACCCUAACACACUACCCAACUGAACCCUAACCGAGUUCUUAUGAACCCUAACACUAACCAUAUGAACCCUAACCUAAAACCUGAUGAACCCUAUCCUGAAGAAAAUGAAUCUCCAUCUUCUUCCUCCAACCAAAACCUAACCUCAACCCAGAUCGACCCAUAACUUACCCAGAAUCACGCCAAACCUAUCCCAAACCCUAAAUCAUAACCCCUUGCACCCUAAUCAAGCAUUCAAACCCCAAAUCAAACAACAAAAAUUAUGAAACCCUAAACCAAAUCCUAAAUAACAAUUAACCAUAAACAACCACAAUCAUAUAGCAUCACAUGUUUAAUGGUUAAAAAAAAAUCCCUACCUCUUCGGUCGUGUCCGAUUUAAGCUGCGUCACUUCCUUUUCUUACUAAUUUUUAUGGUUCUUUU
rnacentral:lncRNA from 1 species